UACGGAGAGUGCGAACGUUGUUCGGAUUCACUGGGCGUAAAGCGCACGUAGGCGGCUUUCUAAGUCAGGGGUGAAAUCCUGGAGCUCAACUCCAGAACUGCCUUUGAUACUGGAGAGCUUGAGUCCGGGAGAGGUGAGUGGAACUCCGAGUGUAGAGGUGAAAUUCGUAGAUAUUCGGAAGAACACCAGUGGCGAAGGCGGCUCACUGGCCCGGUACUGACGCUGAUGUGCGAAAGCGUGGGGAGCAAACAGG
rnacentral:rRNA from 1 species